UCACAUUCAGCUGCCUCUGCCCAUCGUGGCUUGCUUCCUUUUGGAGAGGGCAGUGGCCCCGUUCAAUGCUUAGGGACAAGGUACCUGGUCCUCUCCUGGAGAGCCUGCUCCCAUCGUUCUGAAGCUUAGAUUUUUACUCUGGUUCUAGGGUCUGCUUGGCUGGAAUUGUCUAGAGCUGCACUGUCCAAUAUGUUGGCCGCUAGCCAUAUGUGGCUAUUUCAAUUUAAAUUAAUUAGAAUGAAAUAACAUUAACAAUUCAGUUCCUUAGUCACAUCAGCCACAUAUCAAGUGCACAGUACCCGUAUGUGGCCAGUGGCUAACAUAUUGCAAUGUACAGAUAUAGAACAUCAUUACAGAAAUUUCUGUUGGUGAACUCCAGUCCAGAACUUGAAAUUCCCACUUAAAUGUAUGCGGACUUCUACCACUAAGAGGUGGGCACAGGUUUAAAGGUGCAACAUGAAGCCUUCUGGGGGCAGUUGUUUGCAGAGUACCUGAUGAAGAGGACAGUAAACUACACAAAAGAAUGCUGUGCUGAUAGUCUACAAAUCAGAGAACCAGUGCAACAAUACAGUGGAAUGAGGAUGACGAACCCAUUACCAACCUUGGAAAAACAAGGCAAGGGUUUUCCUAUCCUGCUGCCUCAACACAGAUGUUACCAUCUUUGAUCAUGGUCAAGACCACACACAGGAGAGGAACAAAAUAGAAGUUACCUUGGUAGCUAAUAUCAUGCCUUAUUAGCCCUGAACCAUCAACCAGAAAUUUUGUAUGAGGGAGAA
rnacentral:lncRNA from 1 species